UAUGGAAUUGCCAGCCGCCGCAGUAAUACGUAUGGAGCAAGCGUUAUCCGGAUUUACUGGGUGUAAAGGGAGUGUAGGUGGCCAGGCAAGUCAGAAGUGAAAGCCCGGGGCUCAACCCCGGGACUGCUUUUGAAACUGCAGGGCUAGAGUGCAGGAGGGGCAAGUGGAAUUCCUAGUGUAGCGGUGAAAUGCGUAGAUAUUAGGAGGAACACCAGUGGCGAAGGCGGCUUGCUGGACUGUAACUGACACUGAGGCUCGAAAGCGUGGGGAGCAAACAGG
rnacentral:rRNA from 1 species